CUCAUGGACUGUAGUCAGCUGUGCGUGCGGCCCCAGCUGUGUUUGACCUCGGACAAGUCAGCUAAUCUCUCGGUUUCCUCAUCUGUGAGAUGGAAGGUAGAAAGGGCGCCCACCCCCAGGGCCUCCAUCUCCUACUCCCUCCCUGUGCACGCUGUGUGUGACCACUGUCCCUUGUGACUGGGUCCCGUCUGUGCCCUGCCAAGCCUUCAGCCUCUUGCCAUCACUCCUGCUUUACAAGCA